rnacentral:rRNA from 1 species
UGGGUAACCUGCCUCAAAGAGGGGAAUAGCCUCCCGAAAGGGAGAUUAAUACCGCAUAAUAUGUUUAGGUCGCAUGACUUUAACAUCAAAGGAUUUUCUUUUAGAAAUUCCACUUUGAGAUGGACCCGCGGCGCAUUAGCUAGUUGGUGAGGUAACGGCUCACCAAGGCAACGAUGCGUAGCCGACCUGAGAGGGUGAUCGGCCACAUUGGAACUGAGACACGGUCCAGACUCCGUAGGAGG